rnacentral:tRNA from 1 species
GGGCGGGUAGCUUAGUCUGGUGGAGCGCUAGUCUUAUAAACUAGUGGUCGAGGGUUCAAAUCCCUUCCCGCCCA